GAGUUUGAUCCUGGCUCAGAUUGAACGCUGGCGGAAUGCUUUACACAUGCAAGCCGAGCGGCAGCGCGGGGCAACCUGGCGGCGAGCGGCGAACGGGUGAGUAAUACAUCGGAACAUGUCCAUUUGUGGGGGAUAGCCCGGCGAAAGCCGGAUUAAUACCGCAUGAGCCAGAGAGGGGAAAGCGGGGGACUUCGCAAGAGGCCUCGCGCGAAUGGUUUGGCCGAUGUCCGAUUAGCUAGUUGGCGGGGUAACGGCCCACCAAGGCAAUGACGGGUAGCCGGACUGAGAGGUUGAACGGCCACACGGGAACUGAGACACGGUCCCGACAUCUACGGAUGGCAGCAGUAGGGAAUCUUGCGCAAUGGGCGAAAGCCUGACGCAGCGACACCGCGUGGGGGAUGAAGGCCUUCGGGUUGCAAACCCCUUUCAUGAGGGAAGAACACUGACCUAACCUCAGGAAGAAGCACCGGCUAACUCCGUGCCAGCAGCUGCGGUAAUACGGAGAGUGCAAACGUUGUUCGGAUUCACUGGGCGUAAAGGGCACGUAGGCGGCUCGGCAAAUCGGUCGUGGAAUCCCGACGCUUACCGUCGGAACGGCGGCCGAAAAUACCGGGCUCGAGGGCGUGAGGGGUCACUGGAACUCCUGGUGAAGCGGUGAAAUGCGUAGAUAUCAGGAGGAACGCCGGAGGCGAAAGCGAGUGACUGGCGCGUUCCUGACGCUGAGGUGCGAAAGCUAGGGGAGCAAACAGGAUUAGAUACCCUGGUAGUCCUAGCCGUAAACGAUGGACACUGAGUGAAGGAGGGCUUGCCCUUCUUUGCUGCAGCUAACGCGUUAAGUGUCCCGCCUGGGGAGUACGGCCGCAAGGUUAAAACUCAAAGGAAUUGACGGGGGCUCGCACAAGCGGUGGAGCAUGUGGUUCAAUUCGAUGCAACGCGAAGAACCUUACCCGGGCUUGAACAGCGAGUGACAUCCGGCGAAAGCCGGCUCCCGUAAGGGCACUCGUAGAGGUGCUGCAUGGCUGUCGUCAGCUCGUGUCGUGAGAUGUUGGGUUAAGUCCCGCAACGAGCGCAACCCUUGUCCUUUGUUGCCAUCAGGUUAUGCUGGGCACUCUAAGGAGACUGCCGGUGAUAAACCGGAGGAAGGUGGGGAUGACGUCAAGUCAGCAUGGCCUUUAUGUCUGGGGCUACACACGUGCUACAAUGGCAGAUACAAACCGUCGCGAUGCCGCAAGGUGGAGCUAAUCGGAGAAAGUCUGUCUCAGUUCGGAUAGCAGGCUGCAACUCGCCUGCUUGAAGUUGGAAUCGCUAGUAAUCGCGGAUCAGCACGCCGCGGUGAAUACGUUCCCGGGCAUUGCACACAC
rnacentral:rRNA from 1 species